rnacentral:rRNA from 1 species
UACGGAGGGUGCAAGCGUUAUCCGGAUUCACUGGGUUUAAAGGGUGCGUAGGUGGGUCUGUAAGUCCGUGGUGAAAUCUCCGAGCUUAACUUGGAAACUGCCAUGGAUACUAUAGGUCUUGAAUACUGUGGAGGUCAGCGGAAUAUGUCAUGUAGCGGUGAAAUGCUUAGAUAUGACAUAGAACACCAAUUGCGAAGGCAGCUUACUACAGGGAUAUUGACACUGAGGCACGAAAGCGUGGGGAUCAAGCAGG